UUAGAGUUUGAUCCAUGGCUCAGAUUGAACGCUGGCGGCAUGCUUUACACAUGCAAGUCGAACGGCAGCACGGGGGCAACCCUGGUGGCGAGUGGCGAACGGGUGAGUAACACAUCGGAACGUGCCCAGUUGUGUGGGACAACCUGGCGAAAGCCAGGCUAAUACCGCAUGAGCUCGAUGAGAGGAAAGCGGGGACCGCAAGGCCUCGCGCGAUUGGAGCGGCCGAUGUCCGAUUAGCUAGUUGGUGGGGUAACGGCCCACCAAGGCUGCGAUCGGUAGCUGGUCUGAGAGGAUGAUCAGCCACACUGGGACUGAGACACGGCCCAGACUCCUACGGGAGGCAGCAGUGGGGAAUCUUGGACAAUGGGGGCAACCCUGAUCCAGCCAUGCCGCGUGAGUGAAGAAGGCCUUCGGGUUGUAAAGCUCUUUCAGUGGGAACGAAACGGUCCGCACCAAUACUGCGGACCAAUGACGGACUCACAGAAGAAGCACCGCA
rnacentral:rRNA from 1 species